GACGAACGCUGGCGGCGUGCCUAAUACAUGCAAGUAGAACGCUGAAGGAGGAGCUUGCUUCUCCGGAUGAGUUGCGAACGGGUGAGUAACACGUAGGUAACCUGCCUGGUAGCGGGGGAUAACUAUUGGAAACGAUAGCUAAUACCGCAUAACAGUAGAUAUUGCAUGAUAUCUGCUUGAAAGGUGCAAUUGCAUCACUACCAGAUGGACCUGCGUUGUAUUAGCUAGUUGGUGAGGUAACGGCUCACCAAGGCGACGAUACAUAGCCGACCUGAGAGGGUGAUCGGCCACACUGGGACUGAGACACGGCCCAGACUCCUACGGGAGGCAGCAGUAGGGAAUCUUCGGCAAUGGACGGAAGUCUGACCGAGCAACGCCGCGUGAGUGAAGAAGGUUUUCGGAUCGUAAAGCUCUGUUGUAAGAGAAGAACGAGUGUGAGAGUGGAAAGUUCACACUGUGACGGUAUCUUACCAGAAAGGGACGGCUAACUACGUG
rnacentral:rRNA from 1 species